GGUAACAGGUUAAGCUGACGAGUGGCGAACGGGUGAGUAAUGUAUCGGAACGUGCCCAGUCGUGGGGGAUAACUGCUCGAAAGAGCAGCUAAUACCGCAUACGACCUGAGGGUGAAAGCGGGGGAUCGCAAGACCUCGCGCGAUUGGAGCGGCCGAUAUCAGAUUAGGUAGUUGGUGAGGUAAAGGCUCACCAAGCCGACGAUCUGUAGCUGGUCUGAGAGGACGACCAGCCACACUGGGACUGAGACACGGCCCAGACUCCUACGGGAGGCAGCAGUGGGGAAUUUUGGACAAUGGGCGCAAGCCUGAUCCAGCCAUGCCGCGUGCGGGAAGAAGGCCUUCGGGUUGUAAACCGCUUUUGUCAGGGAAGAAAAGGUUCUGGCUAAUACCUGGGACUCAUGACGGUACCUGAAGAAUAAGCACCGGCUAACUACGUGCCAGCAGCCGCGGUAAUACGUAGGGUGCAAGCGUUAAUCGGAAUUACUGGGCGUGAAGCGUGCGCAGGCGGUUAUGCAAGACAGAGGUGAAAUCCCCGGGCUCAACCUGGGAACUGCCUUUGUGACUGCAUGGCUAGAGUACGGUAGAGGGGGAUGGAAUUCCGCGUGUAGCAGUGAAAUGCGUAGAUAUGCGGAGGAACACCGAUGGCGAAGGCAAUCCCCUGGACCUGUACUGACGCUCAUGCACGA
rnacentral:rRNA from 1 species